GAGACUCUUAUGCUGCCUGGACGCUUGGGCACAGUGGAGGGAAUCCAUCGAGGUGACUGACAAUGAUGGAGGUUGGGACUCACCCUCAACAGGAAUCGGCUGACUGCUCUUCAUCCCUUGCCUACGGCCUGGAUAAAUCACCUGUGGUUACACUUUAUAACAUCCCUGCAUCUACUUGAUGUUGUUGCCCAGUGGUUUACAUACCUAUGUGCCUAGCAUCUUACUCAUAGUUCUCAGAUUUAGC